rnacentral:lncRNA from 1 species
ACCCUUGUAUUUGGAAAUUACUAAUUUAGAAUAGUCUUACUACUCAAUCACCCCAUAAUAAGUGCAAAUAAACCUAAGAAGUAAGGUUUCACUUUUGGUUUCAAGAUUGGAGCAAAAUUAGGGUUUUCGCGAUUUUUCACCGGAUGAAUUUUCGGUACGGAGUAAGGAUCAAAUUUGGUGAUUAAAAGUGACUUUUAAGUGAGAAAUAAUAUGUGAUUAGGGGCAAUGAUGUAAGGUUAGUGAAUAGGAAGAAAAACCCUAGUACAUGUGUUUUAAAGAAAAACGGUGCGAACCGACGUGUACCGUACACUACCGAUUGAACACACCACUUGAUCACCACCGUACUAAAACUUUCAUGUUUUGGAAAAAGGCUAAAUCCGAAUGGAUUAUAGUGAAUAAACACAACCAAAUAGACUAAACUGUCCACGCGGAACUCUGGAAUGUAACCUAGAACAGUGAGAGUAUUUUCGUCUUUUCACAAGCUACGUUGCUCCGAUUGAGCUGAAAUUUUGUAGGCACCUAUAAAAUACCAUUCUCUACAACUUUCAUGUUUUAGGCCAAGCCUAAUUCGGCCUCUAACUAUGAGUACUAAAAUCGGGCAGAACUGAAUUAGGAAAUUUCCAGAAAUCUGGAAUUUUUUGUCUUCAAUGAAACUUUCUUAAAUUUCUUGUUCCAAUCACUACCAAAGCCCCUUAUAUAAUCUUAUUUUCAACAUAUAUUAACUAUACAACAAAUGUAGGCAGAAAAUUUAUCAAACCCUAACUUACUUAUAUCAUCCAAAAUUCAUCACAACAACUUGCAUAUCUUGUAAUCAAGCCAAAACAUGAACUAGAUAGCAUCUUAAACCAAAAUAAAAGAAUCAAAGCCAUAAAUCAGACUUUAUACCUCAAAAACAAAGCUUGAAAGAGUGAUACUUC